UUUUUAAAAACUUUUUUCCUGUCAGGUCUCAAACACGUUCUUAAAAUGUUUUUUAAAUGUUUUCCUGCAGUGCAAAAAUGAAUAAGUGUUAUCGAGACCCAUUAACAAGAUACUGUAGCUGGAUAGUUGUCGUUUGGAAGUGGCUGAUCACCACCAACCUUACACAAUGGCAUUGAAAAAUUGUGUAAAGUUACAGAAACUUUUUUUUUGCUAGCUGGGAUGAAAUUCUGAAGUCAUUAACCUUCGAUUGAAUGCAUCAAACAGCACAAAGCUGCUUGUGGGGGAGUGAUGGUAUCUCUUUGGAGCAGCCUGUAAUGGCUCCUCCUAUCAGAGCUGUUCAACAGCUAAACAAGAUGCAUCUGGAGAGGAAAUGGCUCGGAUGCUGUUAAGGAAUCUCUUAUCUCAGGCAGAGAAUACCGAACCACCAUAAAAGUGUGGUAAAUUGCCUCCUCUUCUUCAGAUUUUCCCUGGCUAUGCACACAAACAACAUGGCAAACCUCUUCACAUUGCAGGGAAGGAAUUUGCUUUGCCAACUGAAGCACAGAACCGUGAACACUUUCAGCAUAAUAAAAGCAAGGGAUCGGACCUCCGUACAUCUUUCCAAACUAGUCUAGUUUUAAAAAUCUAUUCCGUGUUUUUUUUUGUUUGUUUUUACACUUGGGUUAAAACUUGGCACUCAGGGGGGGAAAAGGGCUUAGCUUCCCCCUCAUUAAUAACCCUCCCUGUGUCCAUGGCAACGGCACCAUAUCAGAUACACGUCAUGCUCAGCCUGGGCCAGUCUAUCUCCAGAUGCGUGUCAGGACAAAAAAAACAAAUAAACAUCUCUGGAGGACUUCCCACAGGCCCACUUCCAGAGCCAUGGACGGACAGGCCACCCUCCCCCAGUCCCUGUCUACCUUGGAUAUAUUACACUUCAUGCUUGCAGACGGGGGCGAUUACUGAUUACAUUCUUCAGCAAAUCAGCAUCAACUGAGCCACACAUUUGGAGUAGUUGUGUAAAUGCCAGGUUGGGGGUGCAGACUUUGUCCAGGCCCUCUCAGGCCUGUCUAUAGGGCAGCAUGUGAGCAUUUCUCAUGCAUGGACAACAUACAGGGUCAUAUUGUCGGUGUUGGCGUUGGAGGGCCUUUCCUGACCUGACAGGGGCUCCUGUCCGACGGCAAGAGUUGGCAGAGAGAUAUAAAGCAUCUCUACUACUUCACUCCCCAAGUUUCUUUCCCCUCAAUAUGGGGUGCUCAAUGGCAAUCACAGGCCCACAUGUAGGAAGCAAGCGGAAUUUACCGUUACACAUCUACAUGGCACCGUAAACCCAGACCCAGGACCAUAUCUAAACACACUGUAUACCACCCCCACCCCCUUCCCUCCACCACCAAACCUUCACACCUCAAAGCUUUCACGUUGCCGUCCACGUUUCUCUGUACAAUCCGGACAGAAAGACUAGAACAAAAACUGUUGUUUUGGAGGUGGGGAUGUAGUUGGUACAGAAAAACAUCUGUUAUGAAUAUACCUGUUAUAGAAAGGGGGGAGCGGUGUUCCUUCUGGGUCCCUGCUUUGGCCGGGACAGGAGGUCGGGGGGAAAUUCAGGGGUACCCUGGUUGUGCAGAAUUAAAGGUCUGAAAUAUUCCUCUGUAUCUGACUGCGUUUGCGCAGCGUUGCCAGACAGCUCCUGAUGAAGGGGAGAGCUCUAACAGGGAUUACAUGCAGCUGUUUCAGACAUGUCCAGCUUCGUGUUUCAUCGGUGUGAGAAGCGCUUGAUAUACAUACCAAGGAUGAGCAGGCCGCUGACAGGGAGAUGUGAGAGUUAGCCACACCAUGUUCUUAUUUAAAAUCUGCUCUCGGUACACCCGGUAACUGUCAUCUGUGUUUUGUACAGUUUCGUUCUGUUCAUAGUCACCCUUGGGGGAAUACGAGAAGGGAGAAACUUAUGGGGAAAAGAAAUUAAUCUGUGUCAGUGCGGGGGCUAUUCGGUGACUCUUCCUGCUGAAAUACGUGAUACUAACUGCACCUGUGGUGACUGUGGCUGCCACGCCCCUGGAUGAUGGCACAUAACUGGCCAUACCAUCGUCCAGGGAGGACGGGAUUGUCCCGAUCUUAUCGUGCAAGACCCACCCAUCGGCAUUUCUCUGCCUGGUCAAUCAGGUGCCUGAGGUCACCCUGCACCAGCUGGACAUGAAGUGUAGUCCUUGUGCAGAGUGCUGUGGAGGGCAGCUGUUGGUCACUGAAACUAGCAGCACCCUCUCUUUUUUUUUUACAUCCCUGAAAUAUAAUGGCAGGAACCACGCAGGGAAAUCCACUCCAAAACUCCUACUGUGGGACUCUGCCCCCGUCGAAACGUUUCAACCAGCUUGUCACAUGCACAGCAAGCAAGUGAACAUAGGCCAGACCACACUGGAGACAGCCAGUCUCUACACAUUCAGAGACCUUUCUCUGUGCUCUUGACAGACAGUGAGGUUGAGCUGAGAAGGGUGGUUGUUGCCACGAUGACAGGUUGAGCGUAGCCGCUGGUCAGGAAUAUGCGGGUGUGCACUUCCAUCAUGCUAACGGAUGGCCCAGAGUAAGCAGGCAAGCCCAAAAAAAUCAUAGUUCAAGGGUCCUUCAUCUCUGGUCGUAGCUACCCCCUCAAAUCCCCACCUCACCUCAGGCACUUGGGCAACCUUCUCCACUGGUAUUGGGAGGGGGGGUCACCACAAAAACAUGGUCAUGCCAUGGGAGGAGGAAGGGGUGAGGUGAAAUGGUCAUUAACGCUGACAAGGACGUUGGGUGUCAAUGUGACCCUUUCAUAAUGAGAGCUGUUGACUGGGUGACAUUCACACGGUCAUCUCCCGUCCUCCCAUCCCAUGUCAGCAAAUGCCACCAAGUCUAAAUAUAAGAACGGAGUCAUAUUUUUUUUCCUUGUGCCUGUUGAGCAAAUGCAAGUUUGUUUCUUUACAUCAGUGUUAGACAUGUAAAUGCACUGUACUCUGAUUUGACCGCUGAAAAUCAUGGAAAAAGAUGGACCAAUAUCUGUGAAACAUCCUUAAAGCAUUGAUGAGACACAUCGAUCAUGAGGGCAUACUCUGCCAUUUCUAGACUGCUGUCUUUUAUUAAUUUAAUUUGGCAUAAAUUUCAAAAAGCCACGCUGCUUAUACUAAAUACAAAGUGCUUCUAUAAUGAGGUGAUUGACACUGUACCAUGGGUGCUUCUCAAACAGACUGUCCCUGCCCCUCCAUUCCAUUUAAAUCUUUCCCAAUAGUUGCUUGCUUGCUUUCUUACCACACUUGCUUUCUCACCACGCAUAUUUGUAAUGUGAACAAGUCCAUUUUUGCUUCUGCCUUGUCUUAAUUUUUCUUCUGUCAGUAGGAAAUGAGCCAGAUGGGUAUGUGAACCCCUGGUGUCCUCUGAAUAUUUAAAAGAUGGAAUCUUGAUUGAUCAGAACAAAAUUGAUUUAAAAAACUCUAUUCAACAGAAGUUUUUAAUUGGCUUUUUUUUUAACCCUGUGAGCUGUUCAGAAACAGUAACAGUGACAGCUGAACAUCUGCAAUCAGAUGACUCACCCUACCCUGGUUUAUAGGAUUUGAAUCCUUCAGCAGAAUCACACAGGUGCUGUUCAGUGGUUCUGAGCAUCUCCUGUUCACUCAUUCCUGAAAGAGGGUUCAGCAUUGCUACAGUUAUGAUGAAUGAGACAACUAUUGCAAAUGUGAACUUCACUGAUGUGGAAACAAUGGAAUAACCAAACUAGAUUGAUGGUUUUAAAAAAUCUUUCAGAAAAAAUCUUUUAAGGAAAUAGUCCUUGAACAUUUUUGUUUACCCUUUUCGUAAGAGUACAAACUUCUGAGGUGCAGAGUUAAGGAAAAAAAAAACUUAUAUAAUUGUGAACAGGCAAAGGGCAGCAUGACCCAUAUGAGUUUGGAAUGCACUUCCUGAGUGAGAGAGAAAGAAUGAGAGUGAGUGUAUGUGAGAGAGAGAGAUAGAGAGAAAGAGAGUGAGUGUGUGAGAGAGAGCGAUAGAGAGAGAUAGAGAGAGAGAGAGAGAGAGAGAGUACAUUCACAGAUUUUUUUUAAAUCAGAAAGUGGAUUUUAAAAAUGGGACUAGAUAGAAUUGGGCUGUAGCUACUCAGUGACUUACUGUUUGUGAGUUCAGUCAGAGCUGGGAGCAUUCUCAAACAUGUCCCAUAGCAGUUCUCCCUGGAGCUUUGGGACUCAAAUAAACAGACUCAAGGACAGGGCCUUAGCUUCGGUGUGGCUGCGGAGGUUUUCUGGACAUGCCCUAAACACUGGAAGCUCUGGCCUCCCCAGAUCAGGGGGGGUGAUAGACACUCUCUGCCAUCCUCAGAAUUCACAGGGGUGCAGACCCACAGGCGAGGCUCAUGUACAGACACCUCCCCAUUGCUGGCAGCUCCCAUAGAGCAGAGCGAUGCUUUUUAAAUCUUAUUUUCAACCCCUCAUUUUAUGUUUUUAUCUCGACUUAGAGACUUGGUUGUUCUCCCUGCUAAAUUGACUUGUAAAGCCAACCUCACAGUACUGCAUAAAGUUUUGAGGGCUAAGAGAGACUAAUAAAAUAUCAGACUGUCAACUGAGCUUGUAUUGGCUUUGGUUCUGACAUCACAAAUACACAGGUCAUCAGGUACCUCGUUCCCAGCGUCUGGCGAACAGGCUCGCCCGGAUUGGAUGUCUCACAUGCAUGGUUUCUGGGCUGCGCUGUUAUGAUUUGAGCAUGUACGAGUCCCGCCAUGCCAGAACUAGACAAAACAGUGCUCAAGCAAGAGGCCAAUGGUUCUUUUUCCACAGAUAAAGUGGAGCCAUGUUGAUUCAUUUGUGAAUGACUACGCGUGGAGGGCAGGAAGUCUUCAACUGACACGAGCCAGCAGCUCACCCUUUGCUCUAUUUGGACAAAAGACUUGGGAACCAUUUGUUAAAUGCAUUUGCCUUCCAGGCAAUAUAUAUAUAUUUUUUAGAUUUCCAAGACUUGACAGCUUGGAUUGUCUUCAGUGAGACUUUUUUCUGCUGAAAGGAAUUAGAUUUGGAAAAUGACUUGAGUGUUUAGGUAUACACAGGACCCCAUAUGACUUAUGAGCUCGUGCCUAUAUACUAAAGUGGCAUUUAUGAAGAUGUACACAUUUUAUUCUUGUCCACGACUGCUGAACUUUCAAUGUGGAGCAAGCAGCAAAACCAGAAAGCAGGGUGACUUGUUUUUAUUUGUGUACAGUGAGCAUGUUUGCUACUGAAGUGAAAGUAUUUUCACAUGGCCUUAACAAACUGAUUAGCAUUUGUGCUGCAAAGUACUGGAUGAAUAAUGAGCUGAGGCCACAAAAGACAGCUUCAUUUCCCUCAGAGCAGAUGCAACAGCCUCGCAAAUUCUCCUACAGUUUGGUGGUGCAUGAAAGUACCCAAUUAUCAAGUGCAAUUUGAAUUCUUGGAUUUCAAGCGAACACAUAAUUAUACACGAUCAGAGAUGAACAGAUACUUUACUUAAUUUCUGUGGCAGGAAUACAAACAUAUAUCAUUUUGCAUUCAAAAAGAUGACAGAGCUGUCAAGUCCGAGAUGGUGAAUAAUCUUAAUCACACUGAAUAAGAGGAAGAGGGAAUUUCAAAGCAAAAACAUUCAGGUUUUGAAUUUCUCGGAUGCCCCAAUAUUCCAUAAAAAUGUCCAAAUGUUUUUCACUGAUGGCACAAAUAAGUCUUUCCGCUGUUGCUACAUUAAAUGGCUCAUUUUGAUCUAUAAUUUUAACUCCAGCAAAUAAGCAACUAUGACUAAUUUGUUUCAUCUUCAUUUAGAUGAAAAUACAAAAAUAUGAAGCAUUUUCUUAGCUUCUCUACUGGUUACCGACACCUUGGCACGACCAGUAGGUGACAUAUGUGAGAACAAAAUGGCGAUGCCAUCUAGACUUAAAAGGAACUCACUUGUGGUUUUGGUGCACUUCAAAGCUGCGCUUGUUAAGCCCAUGGCUAUUUUUACUGUUUCAGUAUGUUCAAUCAAAACAUUUACCGAUAUCUCAUAAUGGAGCUUAUUUUCAUUCCCAGAAUUCCACUGCAAAUCCGGCAUACCACCACAGACAGAUCUUGCCACUCCAGAAUUAGAAUAUAAGGAAUCAGGGGCUGUGAAGAUUGGUUCGUAUUACAGUACAAAGGCUCAUGGGUACUGCAUGGAUACCAAGAGCUUUGUAGGAAAAUUACAGUACUCUCCCUCUACCAAGGCAAUACAAACAUGGUGUCGGUGUAUAGUGACAGACUGCAUUUUAGUUUAUGGGGGACUGGAAAAUACAACUUUGCCACAAGUUCCUAACUUGUGGUGGUUCUUCCCUCAUUUAUCAUUUUGAUAGAAAAAAAUAUGCAAGCACAUUUGAAAUGACGUCUAAGUCACGGGUGCAGAGGAAACACAAUAACUAAACUAGAAAAGUUGAAAGGGUUACUGAACACUGUGUAAUACUUUAACUUAAACUAAACUUUUAUUCAGGUACAAAAUUUCAGUCAGACUUAAAACAUUGGACAUGAAAGCGGGAUAUAUAGGUCUUCAUGCAUGACAAAUGUGUAUGAGACAAAAACAUUAUAUUUGAAUAAACUUUUUUUCAAGUAUUACACAGUGUGGAAGUUUUUUUUUUUAUUAUUUAUUUUUUUUUUUAGCCUUGUCAUCAUUUUAAAUAUCAGGUUAACCUAUGGGUAGUGGAAACUUGGGCUUCCAUGUGUGGUCAGUAUGGCCUGUAUGCAUUGUGGUAUCGAAUCUACCAGUGUCUGGAGUUCUGUGGAUGGAAUUCAACACCACUCUUUCUUGAGAAAGUCCAUCCACUCACAUUUAGUUGAGUGAACUUGAAAGCACUGUUUAAGGCAUCAUUCCAGAAAAUUCCAUAAAUGUUUGAUUGUCCAGGUCUGGUGACUGAGAACGUUGUGAUAUGUGGCUAAUGUGAGCAUCAUGCGGCUCAACCCACUGGGAGACUACUCAUCUUCAGUGGAUGGGGGCUUUCUCAUCUUUGAAGACACCACUCACUGCAGGAAAGAAAUGCUUUAAC